AACGAACGCUGGCGGCAUGCCUAACACAUGCAAGUCGAACGAGACCUUCGGGUCUAGUGGCGCACGGGUGCGUAACGCGUGGGAACCUGCCCUUAGGUUCGGAAUAACUCCCCGAAAGGGGUGCUAAUACCGGAUAAUGUCUUCGGACCAAAGAUUUAUCGCCUUUGGAUGGGCCCGCGUUGGAUUAGCUAGUUGGUAGGGUAAAAGCCUACCAAGGCGACGAUCCAUAGCUGGUCUGAGAGGAUGAUCAGCCACACUGGGACUGAGACACGGCCCAGACUCCUACGGGAGGCAGCAGUGGGGAAUAUUGGACGAUGGGCGAAAGCCUGAUCCAGCAAUGCCGCGUGAGUGAUGAAGGCCUUAGGGUUGUAAAGCUCUUUUACCCGGGAUGAUAAUGACAGUACCGGGAGAAUAAGCUCCGGCUAACUCCGU
rnacentral:rRNA from 1 species